rnacentral:snoRNA from 1 species
UUAAAUAUGAUGAAAAAUUUAGACGGGCGGUCUGAUCAAAAUGCUGAUUCGUCUAAUUCUGAUUUA